CUUCACCGCCUUCUCUCCUUCCCUCUCUGCCUCACGCCACCGCCACCGCCACCGUCCAACGUCGCCCCGCCCGCAGACAGCAACCGCACCUCCUUUCUUCUCUUCCCCACCACCUCGGCUCUAACCCGUCCACUCCAGAUCCGUUCGCUGUCCAGCGGUGCGGCGCGUUGUCCACUCCAGAUCCUUUCACCGUGUGGCUCCUCUAGCUCCUCAUCCUCGCCUUCCUCAUCGUAAUCGUGCUUAGCCUCGCCGAUUCUAGAAGCUUCCUACUCAGAUUCGUGAGAUCUCUAUUAAUUUUCGCACAGGGGUUUCGAACAUUAGAUUUUGCAAAGGGGGGUUUUCGCACACAGGGGUCCAAGCACACCUGCAAAUCUCAACAUUGUGAAAAAAGGGGUUUAUCUGAUUUCUUUUUGCAAGUUUCAUGGGGCGAGAGCCCCAAUUUCUUGAUUAUGUUAGAGAUUUUGGUAUGGCAAAAAUUGUGAUUCUUGGAACAUGUAAGGGAAAUUUUCGUGGAAACCCAUAUGAAUUUUGGAGAUAUUUUGAAAGUUUAAUCUGCAGUUUUCGUGAAAUACUUGGGAUACUUGGAAUAUUUUCUGGUUUAAUUCCUAGUUUUGAACUCCUUAAAAAUUCAUUAAACUCCUCCCUCCCCUUAAUUUAGUUUUCUUAAUCUCUAUGGAGGGAGUAUAUUUUUAGAUAUUCUUUGCUUAGUUUCAUUACAUAAUUGCUCAUAUUUGUUUAUAUGUUGUAGGUUCUACCAAACGAAAAGUUCAGGGAGUUACAAAAGGUUUGUCGGUGCAAAAAAAAGGCAGUCUUCUCAAAGAAAAUUAGCGAUCAGAAUAGAGAGAAUCCUACUCGUACAACUGCAUGGAGAUUGAGCCGGUAUAGUAAUACAAAAAAAGAAUCGAUAGAUGAAUCCUCAAAGGAAGUUUAUAUGAGCUUAUGAGGUUGCAGAUUGAAAACAUUGAAGAUGAUGACGGUCUUAUGUCAGAAGACGUGGCUUUAGUCAAGGUUCUCAGCGAGGAAAAGUCGAGCCGACUUGGUGCAUGUGGAGAUGGAUUGAAGCCACUAUCGAAAAGAGAAGAGAUGAUUAAUCUUGAUUUGCAAAAAGAGAAUGAAGAGCUAAAGAAAAAAAACGAAGAGUUGGCCUCUCGGUUUAAGUCUAGAGAAACUCAAAUUAGCAACCACCAAGUGAAUCUUCAAUCUCAAGUAGAAGAUCUUUUGAGAGCUAAACUCUCUGCUAUCAUUCAAGGCCUAAAUCAAAGUAGUCAAAUAUCGAGUUCUAAUUAAUGUAAAGUUAGUUAACUAAGUUUAUCUUUAAUUUAUUAGAAAAACAUGAUUUUAUGCUAUUUCAUAAAUAUGUUUCUGCCUCAAUUUUGCAAUUUAGAUUUGACUUUUUAUAAAUAAGCUUGAUCACGCUUAAAAUUUUC